GCCUCCUCACCGCCGCCGCAGCUUGCUCAAUCCCCUCUUUGGCGUUCGUCGAUCUUCUUUCGAUUUCUUUCUCGCUGCGUAGUUUUUCUCGAUUUGAUUUAUGUUUUUUCGGUUGUGCGGUUUUGCAAGGUCAGCUUCUUGUCUGGAUCUCGUUACCCACGGUCCCAGCCAAUCGGUAAAUCGUCCUGCCAUCUUGCUAGAUCGAACACCAAGCCGGCUUUCAACUCACCUGGAUCUGAUUACUCAAUGAUUUUCCGGGCCCUUUCCGUCGGCACAGUGUGUAAAUUUCUGCCAGUUCUAUGUUUUCUUGGGGAAAUCAAUGGCGAUGAUGGUAGAACUAAGGCUUGUUUCUCAAAACAUUCGCAGACGCCGCCUAAGAGCUUUCGCCCUGCCAGGCUUGAGAGCUAAUGCUGCUAAUUCCUUCCUUGGAUGUCUGAGCCAUGCUUAUUUCCCAGUUUUUAUCUUAUUUUUGCUGCCUCUUUACUUUUCUCUCCUUGACGUUUUUCAUUCUCUUAGUAGAUUGUAGGUAGGUUGUAGGGUGCUAAAGCUGAUUGAAAGAUGGGUGCAUUCAAGAUUUAAUUUAGUUGUGCCCAUAGGUAGUGAAAACAGUCAGAAACAAUUCAGAUCUUCAGAAUGUA